rnacentral:ribozyme from 2 species
GUAAUAACUCCGCCUGUAGCUCUUCUAGAGUUACUGCCGGUCCCAAGCGCGGAUAAAGGAGGAAGGUUGA